rnacentral:misc_RNA from 1 species
GAAAUGCGAUAAGUAAUGUGAAUUGCAGAAUUCAGUGAAUCAUCGAAUCUUUGAACGCACAUUGCGCCCGCCAGUAUUCUGGCGGGCAUGCCUGUCCGAGCGUCAUUUCAACCAUCAAGCCCCCGGGCUUGUGUUGGGGACCUGCGGCUGCCCGCAGGCCCUGAAAACCAGUGGCGGGCUCGCUGUCACACCGAGCGUAGUAGCGAUCACCUCGCUCAGGGCGUGCUGCGGGUUCCGGCCGUUAAACAGCCUUACAAAACCCAAGGUUGACCUCGGAUCAGGUAGGAAGACCCGCUGAACUUAAGC